rnacentral:lncRNA from 1 species
UUUGUCUCUUUUUGCAGAGCCAAAAGCGCAGAUGAAGUAAUAAAUGGUGAUGACAAUGGACACUACAGAGUGUGAUCCAGUUUCCAGGAUAAACUGGGCUCGUUCAACUAACAUGCCUUCUGAAGUAGCCAAAUGCAAGCUCAUAUACUUUAGUUCUAGAAGAGUAAGAAGUGGCCGAACUCAAUGAAGGAGCAGAGUGGAGAAGCAGCAUGUGCUUCCAUGGUAGCACUACUACCAAUGAAAGCAGAUGUGUUCCAAUGGGGAUAGCAGACAAAACAAACAAACAAACAAACAAACAAAAAAACAAAGGGAGGGAAAUUAUGAUAUUUGUUGCAUUAGAUUCACUGCUCUAAGUGAAAGACAAAUGAGUCAAGAGAUCGAACUAAACCAUUUGGUUUAAAUGUUGUUUAUUGGAGAGUGAGCUUGCAUAGGUCUGCUCCUGCUGUAUAUGGGAAGGAUGCGUACAGUAAAACUCCACCAAAGAAUCCAGGGCAUGGGCAUUCUGCAUCCCCAGAAAAAGGCCUACAAAAAAGAGUAGAGAAAAAACAUGGUGGUGAAGCAGUGCCGCCCUUUCUAGAGCCUCCACUGCUCUACUGAGACAGCUCUAUUGAAUCUCCUCCUGUAUCUCCCCCAGAAAUGGUCCCAUCUCCUGUGAGGUGAACUGUAUCUGCUCCCAUUGACACUCCUUCAGCAUCCUCUGCUGGGAGACCAGACACACCCAGUGUUGGGAGCUGGAAGGGUGUCUUCCAGCUGGCUGCUGGGCAGGUCCAGGGAAAGACAGAAAGAAAGGAUGAGAAGGUUCUAGCAGGCAACAGCUUGAAGGUACUGAUAUUUGCCUGCUAGGAUAACAUCAACAAUGGUUAUCAAAGCCACGAUAUUUACAGCAUGCAGUUUCCUGUGAAGGUAUAUGAGCAUCACCUUGACAGAGAAGAACUGGAAACAUCGUAACAACACAGGGCUGUAUGAAAAAACAUGACACAUUUUUCCCUCCUGAUCCCUAAAUGUGGCUUCACAAGUCCCUUCAGUGAAGGACUAAAUACUUCACUCAGCCUAUGACCACAGAUUGUCUGACUAAAAUUGCAUUAGGGAAACUGGGAUAACAGAAGAGGACUGGAUACAGAGACACUGCUCCAUAGCAAAGGCUCUGGAAUAAAUUUUCCUUUGCAUAUCUUGAACAUGCAUGCAGUGAGUAUUGCUUCUGAACCACAGCACCCUUUCCCACCUACACAUAAACUGUGGCUUUGCAGUUGAAAAUACUUGUUGAAGUACAAAUAUUUGUUGACAGGCCUACAAAGAGCCCACUGAGCUGCCUUUCCUUCUUGUUCCCUGUCAUGCUUAAAAAUGCUAAAAUUGUAGAGGAGUUUCUCACUUGAGUUUACUGUCAUUUAUGCAAGUCAAAAAGAGGCAAGUAUUUCCCACUCCAAAAAGGGAGACACUAGAAAACAUACGUAUGUAAGACAGUAAUGCUGUUGCUUUGACAUAGGAUAUUCCGUUUCAGUGUGCUUCCUGACAGGAUGACUCUUCCUCUAUUUACCUGCUUUUAAUGAAGCAAUUACAUGAGAAAGUAAUCUCCAACAAUGGUAUUAUUCAGCACAGCCUUCUAAAACAUCAAUGUCUUAACCUUUACUAAAGCGAGUCAUAAAAUUAAGUAAUUGAGUAAGAUCAAUUAGACACAUACUGCCAGGUGACAGCAUGUGUUGCCAUUACACUGGUUUUAUAAUAACUGUGUAAUCUCUAAUAUGCCCUUGUACCUUGAAGAACUGUAGAGUUACCCUAGGGAAAAUCCUGCUACAUAUAUUUUAAUUGUUAGCAUCUUAAGAGAAAGGAUAAAAUCUUUUUGUUAACUCAUGAAAUUACUUAACUUCCAUGCUUCUUUCAUGAAGGAGUAGCAAUGAAAAAAAGCAGUACCUGAAAUUUAUUUUUGGUUGUCAGCAUAUAGAAAAAUAAUCUACUGAAAUCCAAAUAAAUUUAUAAACCUUCCUUAGUACUUUUUCUCAGUUCCUUUUGUCUGAUGCAGGCUGUAUCUGGGGCUUCCAUAUAGAACCACCAAGCCUCCCACCUCAGCCACAAGGACUUCCUAUCAAUUUUAAUCUUUCUACCCUGAAACCAUUACCAUGCCCUGUUCAUCUAAUUGCAGAUUUGGAUCCAAUGUCUUUUUCCUGGCAGUACUGCCCAGGUACAGCUUUGUGCAUUGUUUUUUUUUUCAUGUUGUUGUUCUUUCCCUUGGUGUUUCUUUGUAAACUGGCAAUCCAUGCCAAUUUAGCUUCCUAUGUUGCCUCCUAUUGUUUUAUUUACAUAGUAUUGCCUGAUCAGUAACAAUCACUGCUUUCUUGAUCAACUUGAAGAAUAAAUGAUUCGUAACAAAUCACUUGGUUUUCUUUCAGACUUCACCUUGUCAUAUCUAGUACAAAAAAACAAGAAAUGGAAGAAAGAGAUUAUAUCCUGUGGUCAUGGUUUUCCAGUUUAGGAGCCAGCACUAUCAGACUCCAUCUAACAUACUUUUCCUUCCUCUGUUUCCUUUCUUUCCCAAACAGAAAAACAAUAAUUAUCUGUUCAGUUCUAGUUCCUAACAGUGUAGAUGACUCUCUUGUAGGCACUGUGCUAUCUGGAAGCUGCUGAAAGAGGAUAUUGACUUUCUCCCUGCCUUCCAUCUCUUCCAAAGCUGAGAACUACAUCCCUACGAAUACCAGAGACAAAAUAAUCCAAAUCAGAAUUAAUUCCUUUAUGCUUCAGAUGAGAGUGCAUCUCCAGAACUCCAAUAGUAUAGCAGAAUAUAAGUAAUAUUUCCUUCAUUCAGCAGGAAGAUUUGUGGGGAAAAGAUAAAUAUUAAUAAACAGAGUUACACAUACUCUGCCCCUCUGUCGUCAGAUUUUUGGCUGAGCAAACAGCAGCAGUGCUUUCAGUGCAGGCAGCAGUAAAUGACUGAAGUUAACCCCAGGAUGGAAGGCAUAGUUAUGUCUAUAUCUGCAAUUAGUGCAGCCUGGGAGUGAAUUUUGUAGACUGGAUCAGCUGAUGCUUUUUGGCUUGUGGACUGAGUGAACACAAUGACUGCACCCAUAGCAAGCACUUUAUAGUUCAGUUACAUCUAAAAUCAUUCCUUCACAUGAACCCAAAGCAUGCAUGCUUCUCAUCCAAACCAAAACAGUGACAAAGUUAUAUCCUCUGUGUUGUCCCUGCAUGCCCAUUUCAUGCCAAGUAAGGUUUCAUCAGCUUCCUGGUGUUUCUGCAGAUGGCUGAGGUCACUCACAGCCUAGGUUUCCUUUGCAAAGCCUGGUCCAAGCUCCUGCCCUGAGCCACUGCUUUCUUCUAUUGGUGCAACUCUGUUCAAGCAGUAAGCUGGAAUGCUUUUUAAUAACAGGGUUAAUUCUCAGAUGCCUCAGUUCUUUUCUCCAGCCAAUGUUACACUGUACAUCCACUUGAGAAGCAGAGCCAGAUUCAUGGAGGUAAAAAGAAGACAGCAGUUUUGUUUUGCUUUCUUAAAUCAGUAAUGAGGCUUAAGUUGGCUUGAAUUCCUUUGUGAAUCUGCUCCUUAAGUAGAUAUGCACAUGGUGGCUCCUAAGAUAAAUAGGAAUGCCCUGUAGUUACUGUUAUUGUUGAUUUGAUUCAGCUACAACUAGGGUUGAAAGAAUUAUUAAACAGGGUAUAGCUCAAAGGUUUUACAUGCUAUUUGGACUGUUUCAGGCUUUCCUUAAACUCUCCAGACACACAAAAUGCAGGCAACAUGGAACUUAGAAGAACUUUGUCCAACAGAAACAGGAUCGUGCCCUUAAUCUGAAAAACUUCCAUGUUCCUCUUUCUCUUUUCUCAUUAUUUUUUCCUCAAAAGUAAUGAUUUACACUCACAAGGAGUCUAAACAGAGUGCUUUCAAGGAAUGGUGCGAACUCAAAUAACAAAAUGGUGACUUGAAAAAUACUAUUUGUCCCAUCUUUUUGCAUACAAUAAGAGGCUGUCUUUUGUUGUUUUGUUUUUUGUUUGAUUGUUUUAAUUUGUAUUUCUUUCUCCUCAGUUGGCCUGAGGUGUGAUAGAUGAAUUGCAUCUGCCUGACUGUUAGGACUAUUAAAUAGGACUAGUAAUCUUGAGAUGAUCUUUCUAUGGCUGUUCAAUUGCUUGCAGUGUAUUAAGAUACAUUUUGCAGUCAAAAAUUUCACCAUUGCUUUAAAUAUAGAUUUUUAUUUAUUUUUUUAAAUGAUGAGGAAAAGUUUGUUUAAUCUGUCUGCAUGGUUUGGUCCAUUUUACUGAUUAAUUGAUUCGUAAUGUUGUGAAAAGUAAUCUGUUUGUGGACAGACAGGAGAUUCUUAUCAUACAAAACACAGGAAAUCUCAAAUUGAUUUUAUCCCCAGGAGUAAUAUCUGGUGAACAAUAGAAAACUGCUGGUAUUGUUCUGAGGCAUUUAUUUUUACUGUAGGAUUUUGCACUACACAGAGCUUUAUUUACAUAACUAAAUACCUAGGAAAAAUACCCCUUGUGAUCCAGGAAAUAGUUGAUUAUUAAGUGAGAAUCUACUGUUUGAAUCAUUUUCGUCUUCUCCUCAUGCCUCCAACAGUACUUACUUAAAUACGCAGAAAAGGAGAACUAGAAAAUCUGAUUCAAUAAAACAAUAGUGACAUGCUAUUCCCUUUUCAGAGAAAGAUUUCUGUUAAGAAACCUUUGCAAGUUCCUCUGUAUUAAGCACAUUGCUGUCUUACUCAGGAUAUUAAAGUUUAACUGAAUAGCAAAAAUUUGUUUGUUCAGCAUCUCAAAUCUUUUAACAAAGCUCACACAAAAAGCAUGAAAAUUUUCAGCUUCCCUGUGGACUGGAGUAGCAACAACGUAUAUGCUAGAAAUACAGUAUCUGUUCUUAAACCACAAUCAAAACCGACUAUAGUAAAAGCUACAGCACGUAGCUCAAGGAAAUCAUUUCUUCUGCUGUCUGUCAGUACUAGACACAGUGUGUCAAACUUAAUUUUUGUCCCUGUGUGACUUGCACAAAUCCAGGAUCUUGUAUAUGUGUGUUGAUACCUCUCUAAAGAGAAAGUGAGGCUGCAGUGCUGUUUCUGAAAUUCAUCCCCACUGAGAUGCAUCAAUAGAACUGUUACUUCUCCCACAGUGGGCAGUAGGCUUGUUGAUGGUGGUUGCUCCUGACUGGCUGAGGUUUGUAGUUCUUCUUUGUCUUGAAGUAAAAAAACAAAACAAAACAAAACAAAACAAAGGAAAAACAAAACAAACCCCAACCAGAC